rfam:Salmo salar isolate Sally breed double haploid chromosome ssa04, whole genome shotgun sequence.
UGUAUUCACUACUGUAAGUUGCUCUGGAUAAGAGCGUCUGCUAAAUGGCUAAAA